GCUUUUCGCAAGCCGGCUAUUUAUUUUCGAAUUCAUUACUCACAAAAAGGCUGACGCCCCCUAAUUUAUUUAGUGCAAAACAGUGUGACCAGGCGCAGAACUUUUUGAAAUACUGGCUUUUCGCAAGCCGGCUAUUUAUUUUCGAAUUCAUUACUCACAAAAAGGCUGACGCCCCCUAAUUUAUUUAGUGCAAAACAGUGUGACCAGGCGCAGAACUUUUUGAAAUACUGACUUUUCGCAAGCCGGCUAUUUAUUUUCGAAUUCAUUACUCACAAAAAGGGUGAGCAAUUUAACGAUAUUUUCCAUUUAAAUACAUUUUAUGAUGUAACAAAAAAGCCUGCAAAGGCAUACCAACGUGGCCAUUUUGUAAUGAAAGUGUUCCUUUAUAAAAUAUAUAAAAUCAUUUAUUAUUUAACACAGCCAUUUUUGCACAUAUUCUGUUUUCGAUGAAAAUUAAUA